UACGUAGGGUGCAAGCGUUGUCCGGAAUUAUUGGGCGUAAAGAGCUCGUAGGCGGUCUGUCGCGUCUGCUGUGAAAACUCAGGGCUUAACCCUGAGCUUGCAGUGGGUACGGGCAGACUAGAGUGCGGUAGGGGAGACUGGAAUUCCUGGUGUAGCGGUGAAAUGCGCAGAUAUCAGGAGGAACACCGGUGGCGAAGGCGGGUCUCUGGGACGGUACUGACG
rnacentral:rRNA from 1 species